rnacentral:rRNA from 1 species
UUUUAACGCUGGCNGCAGGCUUAACACAUGCAAGUCGANCCGGUAACAGGGGAGCUUGCUCCUGCUGACGAGCGGCGGACGGGUGAGUAACGCGUAGGAAUCUACCUAGUAGAGGGGGACAACAUGUGGAAACGCAUGCUAAUACCGCAUACACCCUAAGGGGGAAAGGAGGGGACUCUUCGGAGCCUUCCGCUAUUAGAUGAGCCUGCGUGAGAUUAGCUAGUUGGUAGGGUAAAGGCCUACCAAGGCGACGAUCUCUAACUGGUCUGAGAGGAUGACCAGUCACACUGGGACUGAGACACGGCCCAGACUCCUACGGGAGGCAGCAGUGGGGAAUAUUGGACAAUGGGCGGAAGCCUGAUCCAGCCAUGCCGCGUGUGUGAAGAAGGCCUUAGGGUUGUAAAGCACUUUCAGGGGUGAGGAAGGGUAACUGGCUAAUAUCCAGUUAUCUUGACGUUAGCCCCAGAAGAAGCACCGGCUAACUCUGUGCCAGCAGCCGCGGUUAAUA